AAGGCCGAUUCUCUGGACUUAGUGGUGGGCUACACUGAUCUCGCCUGCAACAUCGACUGGUUUGACCAUUUAAGUGAAACAACUUAACGUCACGCACGGUGAUCGCGGCAGUGUCGACGCAGCUACUCCAGGGGUGACGACAUCAGCUGAGACAAGAAACGUGUUUCGUAUGAUGCGAAAAGUGCAGCGGUGCGGAUGAUCGCCACAUGCGGUGUGUUAAGCAACUCGAGAAAGCUUUGCUAGGUGCAAGUGUUACUGCGAGGCAGUGCCGAAAAUACAAAGGCAGCGCCGAAAAACACAGCUGGUUGACAGCUCUGAAACAGCAGUCCUGCCUCUCUUCAAUAUCUGAAGAGCACAUUAUGCUAUCAAGAAAAUGCUCACUGCUGAAACAGCACCACACGUUAACAGCAAGCGGAAGAGUAAGGUAUCUGCAGUUCAAGCAGUGCAAAGGUGCUGCUUCUAUUGUUCUUGUGCCAGCUGUCACCCAUCACGCCGGCACCACUACGACUGGUUUUGCCACAAGCGUCUUGGUGUCCUGAUGUCGCAGAGAAUUGUUGUGUGACCACAUCGUCAGCAAAGUAUGAAGCAUCAUCAUUUCCACCGCAUCCCGUCUCGCAAUUCUGGAUGGUACAGCGUUCUCCAUUCAGCAAGAUGGAACAGUCAGUGAACAAAUCUGCGCAAUACUGUUGCAUUGUGGAAAUCAUACAGGUACCAUGGGUGUUAAGAAGUUUUGAUAUUCCUUCUAUGUAAGAUAAAUUCGAGAUUUAAAGAUAAUUAAAUGAAAUAAAGCUUCUCUGACAAUUUUUAUUUACACAAUAUGUUGAAUGCCUUUGAUGUAUUUUGUUUUAUAAUUCUAGGACAAUAAAGUUUGAUUUCAGUGAAG